rnacentral:rRNA from 1 species
UAAUGGCUCACCAAGGCGACGAUCCCUAGCUGGUCUGAGAGGAUGAUCAGCCACACUGGAACUGAGACACGGUCCAGACUCCUACGGGAGGCAGCAGUGGGGAAUAUUGCACAAUGGGCGCAAGCCUGAUGCAGCCAUGCCGCGUGUAUGAAGAAGGCCUUCGGGUUGUAAAGUACUUUCAAGCAGGAGGAAGGGGGUGUCGUUAAUAGCGGCAUCUCUUGACGUUAGCUGCAGAAGAAGCACCGGCUAACUCCGUGCCAGCAGCCGCGGUAAUACGGAGGGUGCGAGCGUUAAUCGGAAUUACUGGGCGUAAAGCGCAUGCAGGUGGUUUGUUAAGUCAGAUGUGAAAGCCCGGGGCUCAACCUCGGAACUGCAUUUGAAACUGGCAAACUAGAGUACUGUAGAGGGGGGUAGAAUUUCAGGUGU